rnacentral:tRNA from 1 species
GCAGCUAUGACGUAAUGUCGUAGCGUACUGCAUGGAAAGGUAGUAGUGUGGGUUCGAGUCCCGCUGGCUGCA